AAGGUUGAAAUUGAGUCUUGUUGAAGCUCUUUGAGCCUCCGCGAUGUUAAGCACCCACUACCGGCUGGACUUGGAAGAGGGAGCAGAACCGGAUACAUUACUGGCGCCGGAAGUGCGUCGUAGUGAAAGUGCCUUAUCUCUUACAAUGGCUUCUGUGAGAGCGGUGAAGAAGUCGCUGAAUGUAAUCCGUCUGCAUCGGCACAAUGAGACAUUGCUUUUCCCAAUGGUGUGGUUGGAGUCGGAGGCCUAGGCCAAAUCUCCCCGUCCCGUUUGCGUGGACCUGGAUCGCAGGGAGGGAGGUGACCUAGCCUGAUGGGGGAGGAUGUGCCACAAGUUGAAUAUCGAGGCUGAGGAUUUUAAUAUGCUUGGAAAGCAGCAGUUUCUGCACAAGACAUAACGAAUUUAACAAAGUUAACUGGCAAGGAAUGUCAGCCCAAUAAUGAGAUUCAGAAAUGUGAUGGAUUGCAUCUGGAAUGACUCCUGGAGUGGUGUGCUUUGAAAUCAGAAGGCUGUCUUGCAGAAACUCCAUCAAUUUUUAAACUUUUGCACUGAAAUUUGAAUGUGAAUUGUGACUUUUCCAGCCUUUUGCCUUCAUCUUUUUAAACUUGGCAUUGCUGGAUUUGUGAUGUGCAACAGGUGAUAGAAUUAACAAUCAUUAGGUGUUUCAGCUGUAUGGUAAAUAAAAUCACUGAGCUGUUAAUAUGGAGUAAAAUUUUAAUGACAAAUAAAAUUUUGUCUCCUUUUUAAGUAAA